GUGGUGGCUCUGUGGUAGAGCACUUUCCUAGCAUGUGUGAGGCCCUGGGUUCAAUUCUCAGCACCACA
rnacentral:tRNA from 1 species